rnacentral:tRNA from 1 species
GCCAGGGUGGCUCAGUCAGUUAAGCGUCUGACUUCAGCUCAGGCCAUGAUCUCACGGUUCAUGGGUUCGAGCCCCAUGUCAGGCU